GACGAACGCUGGCGGCGUGCUUAACACAUGCAAGUCGAACGGAAAGGCCUCUUUCGGGGGGUACUCGAGUGGCGAACGGGUGAGUAACACGUGAGUAACCUGCCCUUGACUUUGGGAUAACUUCAGGAAACUGGGGCUAAUACCGGAUAGGAGCUCCUGCUGCAUGGUGGGGGUUGGAAAGUUUCGGCGGUUGGGGAUGGACUCGCGGCUUAUCAGCUUGUUGGUGGGGUAGUGGCUUACCAAGGCUUUGACGGGUAGCCGGCCUGGGAGGGUGACCGGCCACAUUGGGGCUGGGAUACGGCCCAGACUCCUACGGGGGGCAGGAGUGGGGAAUAUUGCACAAUGGGUGGAGGCCUGAUGCAGCAACGCCGUGUGCGGGAUGACGGCCUUCGGGUUGUAAACCGCUUUCGCUCAUGACGAAGCUUUGUGUGACGGUAGUGGGUAAAGAAGCACCGGCUAACUACGUG
rnacentral:rRNA from 1 species